CUCUCUUUUUUUUGUCCUUUUCUCACAACUUAUAAUAUUGUGCAUGUGAAUUUUCUUUCUCUUUUUUUUAUUGCAUAUUGUAGAUUUUUCUUUCUUCCUCAAAUUCAGUCUUCGAAUGUAUUGCUUAGUUCUACUAUUUUCUGUUUUAUAAAUAAUUAUUUUCUAUUGCUAUCUUUAUUAUUUCAUUUUUAAAAAAUAUUUCUUAGAUGUGCUUUUAUUCAGAAUUCUUUUUUUAAAAAAAGAUUUUAUUUAUUUAUUUGUCAGACAGAGAGAGCACAAGUAGGGGGAGUGGCAGGCAGAGGGAGAAGCAGGUUCUCCAUUGACCAAGGACCCCGAUGUGGGGCUGGAUCCCAGAACUCCCGGGAUCAUGACCUGAGCCUGAGGCAGAAGCUUAACUGACUAAGCCACCCAUGGAUCCCUUAUUCUGAAUUCUUAAGUCAAAUAAUGCAUUUCAUGUUAUCCCUUCUUUUCUAAAGCAGUAAAUUUGAAUGAUACAUUUGACCACAUCCCUUGUGUAUGUAUGUGUAGUAAUAUUCGCCAUUGCAUUGUUUAAAAAAAUAGCUUAUAAUGGGGAUUUUUAUUUCCUUUUUGAUACCAUAUAAUUAUUUCAAAAAGUUGUAUUAAAAAUGAUCAAGUCUUGUCUUUCCUUUUAUUUUUAAAAGGAAUACUAUUAAUUUUUGGUGCCUUCUUUUGUGGCUAUGGUAUUUUGGUUUAUAAAUUUUUACUUUUUAACAUUUAUUGAAAUCUCAUUUGUGGUCUUAAAAAUAGCAAGGAGUGUCAGUGGGGAAAAAAUCAAGGUAGCUACUAAAUCAUUAAACUAUUUAGGCCCUUGAGAACCAAUGAUAUCAAAAGUGGUUUGUACAUAUUUCAGAGGAUAUGCAGGUUUUAGAAAGUAAAUAAUAAAAGAUCUGUUUUUAUUUUAAUAAAACAAAUUAAGUUUUAUUAAUAUUUACUGUACCCCUGUUACGGCCACUCUGAUUGCAGUAGAUUGAUUCUAAGAAUUGUCCAACUCUUCACCCCUCCCUGCAUCUACACUGUUGGUUCUCAAUUCACUGACUCUGAGCUCAGCCAUAUAACUUGCUUUGCCCAGUGAGAUGGAAGCACACUGUAAUAAGCAGGGUCUUACAGGAUUGGGUUUGCUCACUCUUGCCCUCUGUCAUUGCCAUGAGAACAUAUCUGGGCAUACCUGCUGGAAGAUGAGAAGUGGAAAGAUCUAAGCUCCUCCAAUAAUCCCAGCUGAGGCCACCCUAGACCAGCUGACAGUCAGUCAACCCUCAGACACGUAAGCAAGCCCAGACAAGAUCAACAGAACCUCCUCGCUGACCCACAGCUGACCUCAGAGUAUAAGUCUUCAUCCAUCACACCAAGAGGUCGAAGGAACCAUGAUGUAAUCAGAUCUUGCAAGAAGUCUAAAUACAUACUGUACUGUGAAAACUAACUUUUUUGUUUCCUUUAAGUGCUGUACCAAUGAUGUGAUUAUUUGUAACAUACCACCCCCACAGUCUGUCACAGACCAACGGCUAGAAGGAUCCUUUUAACAUCUAAGUCCUCUCAAAUCCUCCAAUGACUGCCCAUGGAAUAUGAGACCUGAGCAUGCCUUUCCCGUUGUGGGCAUGGUAUGGUUUGAAGGAAGCCACUCACGUAUCCAUCUAAUUUCCGGAAGAUCUUGAUUGUGAAGGGCUGUUUGUAGAUCCCGUCAGAGGUGCCAGGGACAGCCUGGAAGGAAAAAAGAAACCCGUAUAAAUUUAACAAAGAAUCCUUGGAGUUCUGAAUUGGAAGCUUAGCCCACAACGCAGGAAACUCGACCUGCUUGGGAAAUUGGAUUUGGUAAGCUUUGGGAUGUUGAAAUUCCUGGAUGACUUAACAGGGUGUCUAGAACGUGGGUUCCUGUGAAUGAUGACUUGGAGCCGUGCAGUGCCAGCUGUGGGGACACGUUGCUAUGGAAACCCUGGAGCUGGAAGUUCCUCCAUGACUAGGAGAUGCUGUCAAUUAGAUCUAUGCACUUGGGGAGUCUAACGAAAACAGACACUUGUCAUUUUUCCUGCAGCCAUCUAACAUUAUAUAUAUUUAAAAUAUG